UACGUAGGCAGCAAGCGUUGUUCGGAGUUACUGGGCGUAAAGGGUGUGUAGGCGGCCUGCUAAGUCGAACGUGAAAUCCCUGGGCUCAACCCAGGAACUGCGUCCGAUACUGGUUGGCUUGAAUCCGGGAGAGGGAUGCGGAAUUCCAGGUGUAGCGGUGAAAUGCGUAGAUAUCUGGAGGAACACCCGUGGCGAAGGCGGCAUCCUGGACCGGCAUUGACGCUGAGGCGCGAAAGCCAGGGGAGCAAACGGG
rnacentral:rRNA from 1 species